GAUCAGCCGUACUCCGAAUGACUUAGAUUAAGUUUGAUCAUGGCUCAGGCAGAGUUGNUAACCUGGCUCAGGCUGGAUCACCUCCUUAGAGUUUGAUCAUGGCUCAGGUUGGAUCACCUCCUUAGAGUUUGAUCAUGGCUCAGAGUUUGAUCAUGGCUAGAGUUUGAUCAUGGCUCAGAGUGAACGCUGGCGGUAGGCCUAACACAUGCAAGUCGAACGGCAGCACAGAGGAGCUUGCUCCUUGGGUGGCGAGUGGCGGACGGGUGAGGAAUACAUCGGAAUCUACUCUGUCGUGGGGGAUAACGUAGGGAAACUUACGCUAAUACCGCAUACGACCUACGGGUGAAAGCAGGGGAUCUUCGGACCUUGCGCGAUUGAAUGAGCCGAUGUCGGAUUAGCUAGUUGGCGGGGUAAAGGCCCACCAAGGCGACGAUCCGUAGCUGGUCUGAGAGGAUGAUCAGCCACACUGGAACUGAGACACGGUCCAGACUCCUACGGGAGGCAGCAGUGGGGAAUAUUGGACAAUGGGCGCAAGCCUGAUCCAGCCAUACCGCGUGGGUGAAGAAGGCCUUCGGGUCGUAAAGCCCUUUUGUUGGGGAAAGAAAUCAGCUGGCUAAUACCCGGUUGGGCAUUGACCGUAACCAAAAGAAUAAGCACCCGGCUUAACUUCGUGCCAGCAGCCCGCCGUAAUAACGAAGGGGUUGCCAAGGCGGUUCCUCCGGAAUUACUUGGGGCGUAAGGC
rnacentral:sRNA from 1 species